ensembl:lncRNA
GUCUGUGUCCCUUUCCUUGAUGACUGACCAAUGGAACACAGCUGGGGUGAUGCUGGAGUAAUUCCAGGCCCCAGUCUGAUGAAGCUGGCAGUCUCCACUUCCUGACUCUUGAGACAGUUGCUCUUUGAUCUGAGUCCUGUUCACGAAGGUACCACUGGGCAAGGAGCUAAAGCCUGUGGCUCUCAGCGCUGGCUGAGCUCCCAGUCAGCAGCACUAGCUGUGUGUUUGAGCCGUCUUGGAAGUGAGUCCUCCAGGCCCAAGUUGAGCUACCCUUGCUGAUGCCAGCAGAGCAGAGACAAGCCUCCAUGGCUGAGCCACCAUGAACCAAAGUGCCGGUUCCUCUUCAGGAGCCCUCAUGGUAGUCUGUGGGGCCGAAUGAGACACUCCUCUGCAAACUGGGGUGCUCCCCCAGGCCCUCAGGGUCCCUCAGCCAAUGUGCAGCAGCUGUCCCCACCACUGAGAACAAGACUGGUGCUUCGUGGGACCUUCAGCCAGUAUAGUCAGGAACAGCUGUUCAUUUUGUACACUCAGUGCCCUCACUUCUGUUAAUAUCAUUCUCCCUCUCCUUUGGGAAACUGGUCUCCCCUGACUGAUGUGUUCUUGUGAAGCUGGUGAAACUGCCAAACACAAAACCCUACGGGUGGUGGCUGUGGAAAUUAGUAAAAGAAACCCCCAACUAACCUGGACUAGGGAAGUCCUGCACUAGGAGCUCUCACCCCCAUCACACAUGGUCAGUUACACCAAACAGUAAGAGAGAGAAGCUUGCAUCUCAGACUGGAAGUAAAGCUACUUUACCAUUGAAGGAAGACUUCUCUCCCCACCCAGCAGCAGCCCAGACAGUGAGAAAUGCUGCAGCUCAGCCAAUGAGAAAGGCUCCAGCUCAGCCAAUGAGAAGUGCUCCAGCUUAGCCAAUGAGAAAUGCUGCAGCUCAGUCAAUGAGAAAUGCUGCAGCUCAGCCAAUGAGAAACACUGCAGCUCAGCCAAUGAGAAAGGCUCCAGCUCAGCCAAUGAGAAAUGCUGCAGCUCAGCCAAUGAGAAAUGCU